rnacentral:rRNA from 1 species
AUGAUCAUCUUAGCCUGGAACUGCCGAGGGUUGGGGUUGGACUCGGCAGUGGGUGAACUACGGGACCUGAUUAGGUCAUACAGCCCAGCGGUGGUGUUCUUAUCAGAAACAAAGAAAAGAGUGGGAGCGAUGGCGAGGUUAAAAUGGAGUCUGGGUUUCAACAAUGGAGUUGUGGUGGACUGCAAAGGGAAGAGGGGUGGCCUUGCACUCUGGUGGAGGGAUCAUGUAGAGAUUACGGUUCGGUCGUGGUGCUAG